rnacentral:rRNA from 1 species
CACGUAGGGAGCAAGCGUUGUCCGGAAUCAUUGGGCGUAAAGAGCGUGUAGGCGGUCCUGUAAGUCCGCUGUGAAAGUCAAGGGCUCAACCCUUGAAUGCCGGUGGAUACUGCAGGACUAGAGUCCGGAAGAGGCGAGUGGAAUUCCUGGUGUAGCGGUGAAAUGCGCAGAUAUCAGGAGGAACACCGAUGGCGAAGGCAGCUCGCUGGGACGGUACUGACGCUGAGACGCGAAAGCGUGGGGAGCAAACAGG